ensembl:snRNA U6 U6 spliceosomal RNA
GUAUUCAGACCAGCAGUGCUUAUAAUAAAAUUGGAAUGAUACAGAAAUAACAUAACCCCUUAACAUGAAUGACAUGUAAAUGCAUGAAACAUAUUUUUUUUUG